rnacentral:rRNA from 1 species
AUUGAACGCUGGCGGCAGGCUUAACACAUGCAAGUCGAGCGAGCGGCGGACGGGUGAGUAAUGUCUGGGAAACUGCCUGAUGGAGGGGGAUAACUACUGGAAACGGUAGCUAAUACCGCAUACCAUCGGAUGUGCCCAGAUGGGAUUAGCUAGUAGGUGGGGUAAAGGCUCACCUAGGCGACGAUCCCUAGCUGGUCUGAGAGGAUGACCAGCCACACUGGGACUGAGACACGGGCCAGACUCCUACGGGAGGCAGCAGUGGGGAAUAUUGGACAAUGGGCGGAAGCCUGAUGCAGCCAUGCCGGGUGUGUGAAGAAGGGCUUCGGGUUGUAAAGCACUUUCAGCGAGGAGGCGGUACUCGCAGGAAGAGCACCGGCUAACUCCGUGCCAGCAGGCGCGGUAAUAC